UACGGGGGGGGCAAGCGUUGUUCGGAAUUACUGGGCGUAAAGGGCUCGUAGGCGGCCCACUAAGUCCGACGUGAAAUCCCCAGGCUUAACUUGGGAACUGCGUCGGAUACUGGUGGGCUUGAAUCCGGGAGAGGGAUGCGGAAUUCCAGGUGUAGCGGUGAAAUGCGUAGAUAUCGGGAGGAACACCUGUGGCGAAAGCGGCUCACUGGACCACAACUGACGCUGAGGCGCGAAAGCUAGGGGAGCAAACAGG
rnacentral:rRNA from 1 species